UGAAAACCUGAAAAUUCAAGGUUCGAGCAUACGUCGCUUGGUCGUAGGCGACGUAAGAACGAAUAGACUUAACUCACUUGUUGCUGGAAAGUGAGUGUCGCACAAUCGCAAGUCCGAUGCCAUCAAAGUGCGAUUGUGACA